AAUCUUUCUGCCCACCAUCAAAAUUGAUGAAGAACACUGAAAAAGAACCCUUCUUGAUGGGGGGAAACAAUAAACCAACCAAAUCAAAGUCCAGAAUUGAAGUGGGAAGAAAAUUCAACAAAUGUUGUAGGCUAAUUCAUCCGACAGAAUCUGACUGCUCUGCUCUGCUGCAUAUGCAAGUCAAAUAAUAGACAUGUAGAAGAAGACAAAACAAACCCAGCAAUCUGGAAUGUUUUUGUUGGUUGUUAUCCGACGUUGUACCUAAAAGAGAACAAUUACAGUCAAGCAGGGGAAGAAGAAUCGGGGUCAGGACCGCAAAGAAGAAGAACAAUUACAGGAUAAAAAGAGAGAGAAAGAGAGACAGAGGCAGCUGGGCAAAAAUGGAGAGGAAUGAGAAGGGGAAAAGUGUGCAUAUUUAUAAAGAGAGCCAGCAAAGAAAACAUACCCAACUGAUCAAACAUUCUUUAUCUUUUCUCUGUUCUGUUCUGUUCUGUUCUGUGCCGUAAAAGGUGGGAAGGAGAGACGAUUCUCUUCUAACUGCUUUUCAGUAACCAUUCAUCAACCAUCCCAAAACAAUAAUUAACUUGUCUUUCUUUGGCUCAUAGGUUGAAC
rnacentral:lncRNA from 1 species